GCCUUGAUGGUGAAAUGGUAGACAUGCAAGACUCCAAAUCCCAUGCUGAAGAGCGUGGAGGUUCAAGUCCUCUUCAAGGCA
rnacentral:tRNA from 1 species